rnacentral:rRNA from 1 species
CCAGACUCCUACGGGAGGCAGCAGUGGGGAAUAUUGGGCAAUGGGCGCAAGCCUGACCCAGCAACGCCGCGUGAAGGAAGAAGGCUUUCGGGUUGUAAACUUCUUUUAAGAGGGAAGAGUAGAAGACGGUACCUCUUGAAUAAGCCACGGCUAACUACGUGCCAGCAGCCGCGGUAAUACGUAUGGUGCAAGCGUUAUCCGGAUUUACUGGGUGUAAAGGGAGCGCAGGCGGCGCGUUAAGCCUGGUGUGAAAGCCCGCGGCCCAACCGCGGGACUGCAUUGGGAACUGGCGCGCUGGAGUGCCGGAGGGGUAGGCGGAAUUCCUAGUGUAGCGGUGAAAUGCGUAGAUAUUAGGAGGAACACCAGUGGCGAAGGCGGCCUGCUGGACUGCGACUGACGUUGAGGCCCGAAAGCGUGGGGAGCAAACAGGAUUAGAUACCCCGGUAGUG